rnacentral:rRNA from 1 species
CACGUAGUUAGCCGGAGCUUAUUCUACAGGUACUGUCUUUUUUUCUUCCCUGUCUAAAGCAGUUUACAAUCCGAAAACCUUCUUCCUGCACGCGGCGUCACUGCGUCAGAGUUUCCUCCAUUGCGCAAUAUUCCCGACUGCUGCCUCCCGUAGGAGUCUGGGCCGUAUCUCAGUCCCAAUGUGGCCGUUUAACCUCUCAGUUCGGCUACUGAUCGUCGACUUGGUAGGCCUUUACCCCACCAACUAUCUAAUCAGUCGCAAGUCCAUCUAUCAGCGGAUUUCUCCUUUCCCACUUCCAUCAUGCGAUGGUUAUGGCAUAUGCGGUAUUAGCAGUCAUUUCUAACUGUUGUUCCCCUCUGAUAGGCAGGUUACUUACGUGUUACUCACCAGUCCGCCACUAACCGCUCCAAUAGUAAACUAAUGGUUAAGUCCGUUCGACUUGCAUGUCUUAUGUGCGCCGCCAGCGUUUAUCCUGAGCCAGGAUCAAACUCU